rnacentral:rRNA from 1 species
AGAGAAUAGAUACCCAGGUAGUCCACGCCCUAAACGAUGGAUACUAGGCGUAGGAGGUAUCCGACCCCUCCUGUGCCGCAGCAAACGCACUUAAGUAGUCCCGCCUGGGGAGUACGGCCGCAAGGUUAGAAACUCAAAGUGAAUUGACGGGGACCCGCACAAGCGGUGGAGCAUGUGGAUUAAUUCGAUACUUAACCGAAGAACCUUACCCGACUCUUGACAUUGAAGGAAAGGCAUACGAGAUAUGUCCCUCGCCCACAAGGCAACCUGAAAAACCAGAUGUUGCAUGGCUGUCGUCAGCUCGUGCCCGUGAGGUGUACGGUUAAGUCCGCCAACGAGCGCAACCCUCGUUCUGUGUUACCAGGCGAGUAAAGUCGGGCACGUCACAGGAGACCGCCGGU